ACGAACCGUACGAACGUUAUUCGGAAUUACUGGGCUUAAAGGGUGCGUAGGCGGCGCGGUAAGUUGGGUGUGAAAGCCCUCAGCUCAACUGAGGAACUGCACUCAAAACUACCGUGCUCGAGGGAGACAGAGGUAAGCGGAACUCAAGGUGGAGCGGUGAAAUGCGUUGAUAUCUUGAGGAACACCGGUGGCGAAGGCGGCUUACUGGGUCUUUUCUGACGCUGAGGCACGAAAGCUAAGGUAGCAAACGGG
rnacentral:rRNA from 1 species